rnacentral:rRNA from 1 species
AACGAACGCUGGCGGUAUGCUUAACACAUGCAAGUCGAACGAAUGCCUUUGGAGCUUGCUUCAAAGUCGUUAGUGGCAAACGGGUGAGUAACACGUGGGAAUCUACCUAUCAGUACGGAAUAACAUUUGGAAACAGAUGCUAAUACCGUAUAUUCUCUUCGGAGGAAAGAUUUAUCGCUGAUAGAUGAGCCCGCGUAAGAUUAGGUAGUUGGUAGGGUAAUGGUCUACCAAGCCGACGAUCUUUAGCUGAUCUGAGAGGAUGAUCAGCCACACUGGGACUGAGACACGGCCCAGACUCCUACGGGAGGCAGCAGUGGGGAAUAUUGGACAAUGGGCGAAAGCCUGAUCCAGCAAUGCCGCGUGAGUGAUGAAGGCCUUAGGGUUGUAAAGCUCUGUUGUGUGGGAAGAAACAGCAGCUCUAACACAGUCUGCGAAUGACGGUACCUGAAGAAUAAGCACCGGCUAACUACGUGCCAG